UCAGAAGUUCGGAAUUCAGCG
rnacentral:miRNA from 1 species